CAGCACUUUGGGAGGCCGAGGCAGGCGGAUCACUUGAGACUUUGUGCUCCAUCAGUUGAAGAGUAGGAUGAAGAAAAAAAAAAAAGGUUACAUGAAGAUGAUGGAAUUAUAAUCAGGCCUUGAAGAACGGAGACAAUUCCAGCCAUUGUUGUAGAUGUGGAGGCUGAAGGACAUUCCAAUUUGAAGGAACAGAAGAUGGGAUCUCACUCUGCUGCCCAGGCUGGUCUCCUCCUGCCUUGGCCUCCCAAAGUGUUGGAAUUACAAGUGUGAGCCACUGUGCCUGGCCCUGAAUAAGUUUCUUGACCCAGAGUUCCUGAAGAGGAGGAUGGGAACCUUGGAGGCUGUUUCUCCAGGCUGUGAUGGAGUCUUGUUGUGUUGCCCAGCCUGGCGUCUAACCCCUGGCCUCAAGCGAUCUUCCUGCCUUGGCCCCCCAAAGUGCUGGAAGUAUAGGCAUGAGUCACCACGCCCAGCCAAAUUUGUGUCUUAUUUUUAAUAAAUUUGGACGUGGUCGUAAUUUAAAGAGUUAAAUACUUCCAAAGACAUGUUAGAAAAAAGAGAAGAUCCUUUUCAACUCUCCUCCAUUUUCAGCUCCUCAGAAGUAAGCAUUUUUUCAGUUCUUAUAGCUGAUCUUUUGUUAUUUGGUUUAUAUUUAUAUGUCUAAAUAAUACAGUUAUGUCUUUAGCUCUUGGUUUUUUUUUUCAGUAUUACCUAUUAUCUAUUGACUUACCGUGUGGACAGUGAGGGUUAGCUCUCUUUCACUUCCCAGUCACACACACCAGUCACACACACACACACCAGUCACACACACACACACCAGUCACACACACACACACACACACACACACACUUCCCAUCCCACCAUCCUCUGAACACAGACAGUCCCCCAAUUUAGGAUGGUUUGACUUAAUGAUUUUCUUAACUUUACAAUGAGUUAAUCAGGACUCAGUCCCAUCAUAAGUCAGGGAGCUAGGAUGGUUUGACUUAAGGAUUUUCUUGAUUUUAUAAUGAAUUAAUCAGGACACAGUUCCAUCAUAAGUCAGGGAGGCUCUGUAUUUGUCAUUUUAGUUAGAAAGAGAUUUAGGAUUUUAUGUAUGUGUGUGUAUAUAUAUACACACACAUAUAUGUAUACAUAUAUAUAUAAGUAUAUAUGUAUAUGUGUGUAUAUGUAUACACAUAUAUAUACGUAUAUGUGUGUAAGUAUGUGUGUGUGUGUGUAUAUAUAUAUAUAUAUAUAGAGAGAGAGAGAGAGAGAGAGAGAGAGAGAGAGAGACGGAGUUUCACUCUUGUCACCCAGGCUGGAGUACAAUGGUACGAUCUCGGCUCACUGCAACCUCCGCCUCCUGGUUUCAAGCGAUUCUCCUGCCUCAGCCUCCCAAGUAGCUGGGAUUACAGGCGCCCACUGCCACGCCCAGCUAAUUUUUUUUUUUUUUGGUAUUUUUAGUAGAGACGGGGUUUCGCUAUGUUGGUCAGCCUGGUCUCAAACUCCUGGCCUCAGGCGAGCCACCUGCCUCGGCCCCCCAAAGUGCUGGGAUUACAGGUGUGACCCACCGCGCCUGUCCUAGGGUUAUAUUUUUAUAAGUGUAUAUAUGCUAUUCAUAAUUGAGCCAUUUGUUUCCCUUGGAGUUAAUAAUUGCCUUAUCUUUUGGUUUGCCGAUGUUUCUAGGUAUUAAUCCUAAUUGAAUCCCUGCUGUAAAAUAAGUCUUCUCAUUAUGUUCAAACAUACAGAGUAGAUUGUCACAGGGCAGUGAAGGCAUAUUGCUGCACCUGCUAGGUGAAGGUAAAUUAUUAGGUCUUCAGUCAGUUUCAUCUUCUUGAAGGAAUCCCUCCAAGAACCUUCUGAUUUGUUUCUUUUUUUUUUACCUUUUUAAAAAUCUUAUUGCCUGCUCUCUGUGAAACCUACCUUCUGAUCUUCUCUACUUUGGACUAGCUGCUUUCUAGGGCAGCAACUCAGCUGUCAUUUUGGGGUCUCCUCUCACUAUUACCCUAGGGACUCCCUUCGUCUUUGUUGAAUUGGAUACCCUCACUCAUGGAUCCCAAGUCUUCUUUCUUGCUUUAUCGCUUUACGUAGGUGGUGUACUCUACUGAUAGCUUCCUGAGAAUGUUCAGGAAAUGUUCAAGACUGUGUAGCAGAGAAUGUGACUAAUUCCACCAGUAUCCUUCCAUUCUUCCAUAGUAAUAGAGUUUUUAUCUAGGCAUAAAACCAUCCAAAGGCCAGGCACUAUGGCUUACACCUGUAAUCCCAGCACUUUGGGAGGCCAAGGCAGUAGGAUCACUGGAGCCCAGGAGUUCAAGACUAGCCUGGGUAACAUAGGGAGACUCUGUCUCUACAAAAAAUGAGAAAAUUAGCUGGGCAUGGUGGCAUGCGCCUAUAGUCUCAGCUACUCCAGCAGCUGAGCUGGGAGGAUCACUUGAGCCCAGGAGGUCCAGGCUGUAGUGAACCAUGAUUGUGCCACUGCACUCCAGCCUGAGCAACAGAGUGAGACGCUGUCUCAAAAAAGAAAAAAAAAAAA